rnacentral:rRNA from 1 species
UACAGAGGGGGCGAGCGUUGUUCGGAAUUACUGGGCGUAAAGGGCGCGUAGGCGGCCUUCUAAGUCGAACGUGAAAUCCCCGGGCUCAACCCGGGAACUGCGUCCGAUACUGGAAGGCUUGAAUCCGGGAGAGGGAUGCGGAAUUCCAGGUGUAGCGGUGAAAUGCGUAGAUAUCUGGAGGAACACCGGUGGCGAAGGCGGCAUCCUGGACCGGCAUUGACGCUGAGGCGCGAAAGCCAGGGGAGCAAAGCGGG